ensembl:lncRNA
UCUGAUCACAGCUUUAAACUGAGUAAACAAGGAGAACAUCACACAGAUGGUAUUAGCAGAGAUCUGAGGGUAGAAUGUUCGCUGUAGUUAUCUAAAACGACCACAGGGUGGCAGUAGAAGAUGCCUAAAAGUACCGGUACUCUAUCAUGAAAAUGAUGAUGUGAGAACAAUGAUGAUGGUGAUGAUGAUGAUUUGGUGGGAGGCUUGGCCAAAUCUGUAUAUUUAAUAGGAUUUUUUUUUGUAUUUGUAGUUUUGUUUUAUGGACUGGAGUUGCAAGUAUUGCACUGUGUUUGUUAUGUCUGUUUGUUGAUAAUUUUUAUGUUAUGUGAAGAAAAAAAUGAGAUUGAUGAUAAUGACCAUAGAUGGCUGAAGUCCUCUCCUUCCCCUCUCCUCCUCCUCGUCCCUUCCCAGCUCAGACUCCUUGCCACCCCUCCUCUCUCCCUCCUGUCCUUCCCCCACUGUCUCCAGUCCCCUACACAAACUGGAACAGUACUGUGAUGUUCUGGAGGAGCUGGGAGGGCUAAACCACGCCUAUGACUCCUUCCUCUCCGUCCUUAGACACGCCCAGCGCCACGGUGAGGACCUCCGGGCCAGCGACCUCAUCGUCGGGUGUCCGGUCCCGGUGGAGGAGCGUGGAGAGCUGGUGAGUCAGGUGUGUGGGAGGACCAGGAGGAAGAAGACCGGGGUGUGUUCCUCUAUCAACCCCUCAUCGUCUUCACCAAGCAGAAGAGCCUGGGACACACCGCCUACAGCUUCAAACACAGCACCAAGUGUCAGAGUGGAGAGGAGAGGGCAGCCUGGACACACGAUAUCACUCAGCUCCUUUGGACCCACACCAUACACAACACAGGUACGACCUCUAAACCCUGGCUUUACCCUCUCAGUCACACUGUUGUCAUGACUGGCCUGCUCGUGUCAGGUUACCGUGGACCACAAUCCUACAGAGAGAUCUCUGACACUCAUCAAAGGGAAAGAGAUCGAGAGCCAUUGAGGUGGGGGGUUUUAUGACACCUCACGCCCAUUGUAAAUCUUAAGGCAGCAGGCAAAAUUCCUUUGUCCUCUCACUAUGGAGAACCGGCCUCAGAACAUUAACAUGCAAUUAAUGGACUUUGGGACAAUAGGUUUCGUCAGCCACAUUGGUGGUAAUGACGAUAGAUGGAAUACGAAAAUGAAUGUCGUUUUGUUAUAUUAUUAAAAGUUAAAGGACGACGUUAUAAUGAAAACUUUGUAACUAAGAGUUUUCCUAAUAUGUGCCUGAUGUUUGCAUAUUGUACAUUUGUGUGGAAAAUGUUCAGAAAAAAGAUAAUGUUUUUGUAAAGAUGAAAUGUGAAGUUAGUUGUCUAAAUUGGAGCUGAGUAAAAUCCAGACCUUGCCUCAUAACUUGGUACGCCCAGAGAAUUGCCCUGAAGGCGGAAACGCCCAUUUCUGACCCGAGGGAGUUAAGAAUGAACAUAUUAGACUAAGUGAUCCUGAGCUGCAGCCAAGGUCUGAGUGGUGAGCAAACCCAAAACGCAACACGAGGUUGAGGAGGACAAAAUAACCUUUUUACAACCUAUUCUACGGACAAGUAGCCGUAUCUAACGGGGGUGAAUUCAAGCAGGACGACCCGGUCACCACUCUCCAAGGAAUCAUGUGUCUACACUGUUUUCCUUCCCACGCUGGAACCAUCCCCACGGCUGAUUAGCCCUCCUCCGAAGACCCCUUUUUCAGAGCAAGUGCGAGGAAACAGACCACUAAAAGAAAGGACACUGACAUCGUGAGGAGAAACAGAGAGUUACACCCGGUAACCGAAGAUGGACCAUCAUCAGAUAAGUCGGAACCACGGUCCAUGCAGAGACCCCCCCCAUCAGAGACCUUCAACACGUAAUUACAUUGUUAUAUUCUGACCCAUAAGAGCGGUAGUUUGGGGCAAGGUUGGGGUUGAAAUAAUCGUAACUGACAAAUGCACCCAAUUGUGUUUUUCUUUCGCGUACUCUAUCUCUCUCUCUUUUGAAAUCGCCAUUGUGUGUAACACGUGUCAUAUGGUGUUGGCCCGCUAGGGACCUGUUCAUCGUACUAAGUUCUAAUCAAUAGCCUAGACUGUGUGCUUGUGUAUGUGUAUCCAUAGCACAGGUAUGACACCUGAACAGUCACCUGUCCCUUCUCUACCCUCAUUCACAACAUUCUAAUCUAACCUUUCUCAUUCUAACCUGUCACGUGGUCAUGUGACCAAUCUUACUCCAACCAUCUACUACACAGGUGUGCAUUCUUAUAGAUGCACCCACUGUAUGUAUAAGCCUCUCUCUCUCUCUCUCAUGUCUGAUAGAGACAAUGUGUAUUGGUCUGUCCAGUAAGAUACUGCUAGAUGUCACAGGAGCACCAGACACAUCUGAAAUGGCCUCUAUCUACAGUCUGAAUGACAGAGGUACAAAUGCACUCACACACACCUUAACGGACCAUAUGAUUACCUUAUGUGUAUUGUAUCUCUAUCCACAGUAAAACGAGAUACUUUACCUACACCAUAG